AUUGAACGCUGGCGGCAUGCUUUACACAUGCAAGUCGAACGGUAACAGGCCUUCUGGUGCUGACGAGUGGCGAACGGGUGAGUAAUGCAUCGGAACGUACCCAGAGGUGGGGGAUAACGCAGCGAAAGCUGUGCUAAUACCGCAUGUGAUCUGAGGAUGAAAGCGGGGGACCGAGCAGCAAUGUUUGGCCUCGCGCCUUUGGAGCGGCCGAUGUCGGAUUAGCUAGUUGGUGGGGUAAAGGCCUACCAAGGCGACGAUCCGUAGCUGGUCUGAGAGGACGAUCAGCCACACUGGGACUGAGACACGGCCCAGACUCCUACGGGAGGCAGCAGUGGGGAAUGUUGGACAAUGGGCGCAAGCCUGAUCCAGCAAUGCCGCGUGCGGGAAGAAGGCCUUCGGGUUGUAAACCGCUUUUGGCAGGAACGAAACGGUGUCCGCUAAUACCGGGCGCUAAUGACGGUACCGGCAGAAUAAGCACCGGCUAACUACGUG
rnacentral:rRNA from 1 species